UAUGAAGUUCAGCCAGCAAGUUCCUGGUGUAGACACAGCUGUUCUGCCAGGAGAAAGCUGCUGCCAGAUUAACCUGCUGUGUUCUUGGCCUGCUGUGAUCACAACAGCACAUCUCCUUCACUUGGCACCUAACAGUGCAGAACUCUAGUGUGCUGGUGUAACUCUCACAGUGAUGGCAACUGCUGACAAAUCCUAUGUCUGAAGCUUACUUAGGCCAGUAGUUUAGAUGUACUUUAUGUGAGGACAGCAAUGAAAAAAAAACCAAAGAUGCUGAGAACAGAACGCUGAGAAGGCAUUAAAGAUUGCUGGCAGGGCUUGUAGUUUGGACUAGACAAGCCCCUUUGAUGACAAGUUCCCAUUCCAUAAAUCUUUUGUUUUUCUUGAAAUUACAUUUCUUGUCUAUGCCAGUUUCCACUGACUGCAGAAACAUCUGCUGUGAUGAGGUUUUCUUUGCCUUACAAUCAUUGAGCAUUUGUGCCCUUGCAACAGUAGCUUUUCAAUGAUAAAAUUCUACUCUAGGGUGAUUACUACCUAUAGUAGAAAGGUCUGCAGCCAGAUCACAAUGGGACUGUAAAUGGCUCUGGUGUUUCGCAGAUACUACAGUAUUAAUUCUCUCCGUCUGCUUCACAAUCAUAGUAAAAGUCUGUCCCAAAAAUAAUACAGCAGUAUAUCAGGUUCAAAGUAUUUCUCCUGUCAUCACAUGCAUCUGCCUUAGGUUAUCUGAAAGUCACAGGGUAUUACACUAGCGAAGAAAUAUUUGAAGGUCAGUCCAGGAUCAGCCUGGAUGACAAGUGAUGACUGCAUUUUUACUAAGCAAUCUGUCUCUGGUACCUGAUGAUGUCAGAAUGGUCGUGUUCCUGGGAUCCAGCAGUUCCCAAACCCUUUGUUGCGUGCAGGCUUGUUUGGUUAUUCUUUCUUCCUGACAUGAACGUGAGAAGACUUGGACUGGCUGCAGUACUGGCAGACAGAGAAAUGUGGCUGUGAUGCUCUUUGACCAAAAUCAAUUGGCCUCUGUACUUUGGCAUGAAAAAGAUAUAAUUGUCCAGCAAAACAGGAAAACAGGCAGUACUUGCUCUUCUGAUACAGAGGCAGUGACAAAGAUAGAUGGAACACAGAAAUUGUUGGUAAAACGUGUUAUCAUCAGACAACACAUACGUCCAGGUUCUGCAUGCUUCCUGGAGCUCCAGGUUGCUACAGAAAAAUCCGUUGAUACAUCUUUAUGCUGCAAUGCCAAUGAUAUUCUGACCUACCUUCAAAACAUUCUUUACUUCCUUUUUUCCUUUGUUCUUGUUUGCUCUGUAUCUGUGCUUUACAUACUAGACCACAUUUAAACGUACAGUGAUCCCACUCUGGGUCUUGGGUUGGAGAAGAGAAAACAAGGUAAGUACUAGCUGGAAAGAGCUCUUUCUGUGGUGGCCAGAAGAACUGUAUUAAUUUAAACCACAUACAUAUCUUUUUUUUUAAUCAGCAUUUAAUGAUUUUCUAAUAUGGUACAAGCUAUUAUAUAGAUAAAGUUCAAGAAGGUAGAGGACAUGAAAAUAUAUUUUUAAAAAGGGAAAAUUGGAUUACAUCAUAGUUAAUAAUUCUGUACAUAGAAUAUAAUUUUCGUCAUUGAUGUAGUCUGAAUACUUCUACUUGCAUAUCUGAGUCUGCGGUUUUAUAUGUGGAUGAUUCCACCAUAAAACUCUGAGACAUCACAGGACUACCAAUUCACCUGUAGUCCUAUAACUCAGGAAUCUCUUAAAGCCAGGAAGUACUGAUGUUAUGUUAGUAUGACAUGAGUCUGGCCUGCAGCCUCAUUGUCCUCCACAGACUUGCCCAGUACUUUGCUCAUGGCGACUUCAGACAACCCAACCUCCAUGAAGGCUGGUGCCAUUUUAAACUCCAUUGGUAAGUGACAUUUGCAAGGUCUGAUUUUCCCAAUGGUAGCUGUGUAAUGCUCUAGCAUCAAGGAAAGACACCUCCAGGUGAUGCCACUCUGAGAAAAGGACAAUGAAAGGCAAGUCCCGGAAAAUGCACUGACAAGACAAAAAAAAAAGCACAGUAAUCUG